UACGUAGGGUGCAAGCGUUGUUCGGAAUUACUGGGCGUAAAGGGCGCGUAGGCGGGCCCGUAUGUCGAUUGUGAAAUCCCUGGGCUUAACCCGGGAAUGGCAGUCGAAACUGCGGGUCUUGAAUGCUUGAGAGGAUGGCGGAAUUCCCGGUGUAGAAGUGAAAUUCGUAGAUAUCGGGAGGAACACCUGAGGCGAAGGCGGCUAUCUGGCGAUGCAUUGACGCUGAGGCGCGAAAGCGUGGGGAGCAAACAGG
rnacentral:rRNA from 1 species